UACGUAGGGUGCGAGCGUUGUCCGGAAUUAUUGGGCGUAAAGAGCGUGUAGGCGGCCAGGUAGGUCUGGUGUGAAAACUCGAGGCUUAACUUCGAGAUGUCAUCGGAAACCAUCUGGCUAGAGUCCGGAAGAGGAGAGUGGAAUUCCUGGUGUAGCGGUGAAAUGCGCAGAUAUCAGGAAGAACACCAAUGGCGAAAGCAGCUCUCUGGGACGGUACUGACGCUGAGACGCGAAAGCGUGGGGAGCGAACAGG
rnacentral:rRNA from 1 species